rnacentral:rRNA from 1 species
UACGUAGGGUGCGAGCGUUAAUCGGAAUUACUGGGCGUAAAGCGUGCGCAGGCGGUGAUGUAGGACAGGUGUGAAAUCCCCGGGCUUAACCUGGGAACUGCAUUUGUGACUGCAUCGCUGGAGUGCGGCAGAGGGGGAUGGAAUUCCGCGUGUAGCAGUGAAAUGCGUAGAUAUGCGGAGGAACACCGAUGGCGAAGGCAAUCCCCUGGGCCUGCACUGACGCUCAUGCACGAAAGCGUGGGGAGCAAACAGG